UGCCAGCCGCCGCGGUAAUACGGAGGGUGCGAGCAUUAAUCGGAUUUAUUGGGCGUAAAGGGGGCGCAGGCUGAAGUGUAAGCCAGACGUGAAAUCCCGGGGCUCAACCCCGGAACUGCAUUUGGAACUACACUUCUAGAGGAUAGGCGGAGAAAACGGAAUUCCACAUGUAGCGGUGAAAUGCGUAGAUAUGUGGAAGAACACCGGUGGCGAAGGCGGUUUACUGGUCCGAUACUGACGCUGAGGUACGAAAGCGUGGGGAGCAAACAGGAUUAGAUA
rnacentral:rRNA from 1 species